rnacentral:rRNA from 1 species
ACGGCUUACCAAGCAACGAUGCAUNCCGACCUGAGAGGUGAUCGCCACCCUGGAACUGGAACCCGUCCAGAUUCCUUCGGGAGGCAGCAGUAGGGAUUUUCCGCAAUGGCGAAAGCCUGACGGAGCAACGCCGCGUGAGUGAUGAAGUCUUCGGAUCGUAAAACUCUGUUAUUAGGGAAGAACAUAUGUGUAAGUAACUGUGCACAUCUUGACGGUACCUAAUCAGAAAGCCACGGCUAACUACGUGCCAGCAGCCGCGGUAAUACGUAGGUGGCAAGCGUUAUCCGGAAUUAUUGGGCGUAAAGCGCGCGUAGGCGGUUUUUUAAGUCUGAUGUGAAAGCCCACAACCGUGGAGGGUCAUUGGAAACUGGAAAACUUGAGUGCAGAAGAGGAAAGUGGAAUUCCAUGUGUAGCGGUGAAAUGCGCAGAGAUAUGGAGGAACACCAGUGGCGAAGGCGACUUUCUGGUCUGUAACUGACGCUGAUGUGCGAAAGCGUGGGGAUCAAACAGGAUUAGAUACCCUGGUAGUCCACGCCGUAAACGAUGAGUGCUAAGUGUUAGGGGGUUUCCGCCCCUUAGUGCUGCAGCUAACGCAUUAAGCACUCCGCCUGGGGAGUACGACCGCAAGGUUGAAACUCAAAGGAAUUGCCCGCACAAGCGGUGGAGCAUGUGGUUUAAUUCGAAGCAACGCGAAGAACCUUACCAAAUCUUGACAUCCUUUGACAACUCUAGAGAUAGAGCUUUCCCCUUCGGGGGACAAAGUGACAGGUGGUGCAUGGUUGUCGUCAGCUCGUGUCGUGAGAUGUUGGGUUAAGUCCCGCAACGAGCGCAACCCUUAAGCUUAGUUGCCAUCAUUAAGUUGGGCACUCUAAGUUGACUGCCGGUGACAAACCGGAGGAAGGUGGGGAUGACGUCAAAUCAUCAUGCCCCUUAUGAUUUGGGCUACACACGUGCUACAAUGGACAAUACAAAGGGCAGCGAAACCGCGAGGUCAAGCAAAUCCCAUAAAGUUGUUCUCAGUUCGGAUUGUAGUCUGCAACUCGACUACAUGAAGCUGGAAUCGCUAGUAAUCGUAGAUCAGCAUGCUACGGUGAAUACGUUCCCGGGUCUUGUACACACCGCCCGUCACACCACGAGAGUUUGUAACACCCGAAGCCGGUGGAGUAACCUUUUAGGAGCUAGCCGUCGAAGGUGGGACAAAUGAUUGGGGUGAAGUCGAACAAGAGCNAGG